CGGGGCAACUCGGUGGGUACAGCGGCGGAAGGGUGCGUAAUACAUGGAUAACGUACCCCCCAGUUCGGGAUAACCCUCCGAAAGGUGGGCUAAUACCGGGUAAUGGCAGCGGGUGGCAUCAUUUGCUGCUUAAAGACGCAAGUCGCUGGGGGAGCGGUCCAUGGCCUAUCAGCUAGUUGGCGGGGUAACGGCCCACCAAGGCAAUGACGGGUAGCCGGACUGAGAGGUUGAACGGCCACACGGGAACUGAGACACGGUCCCGACAUCUACGGAUGGCAGCAGUAGGGAAUCUUGCGCAAUGGGCGAAAGCCUGACGCAGCGACACCGCGUGGGGGAUGAAGGCCUUCGGGUUGUAAACCCCUUUCAUGAGGGAAGAACACUGACCUAACCUCAGGAAGAAGCACCGGCUAACUCCGUGCCAGCAGCUGCGGUAAUACGGAGAGUGCAAACGUUGUUCGGAUUCACUGGGCGUAAAGGGCACGUAGGCGGCUCGGCAAAUCGGUCGUGGAAUCUCGACGCUUACCGUCGAAACGGCGGCCGAAAAUACCGGGCUCGAGGGCGUGAGGGGUCACUGGAACUCCUGGUGAAGCGGUGAAAUGCGUAGAUAUCAGGAGGAACGCCGGAGGCGAAAGCGAGUGACUGGCGCGUUCCUGACGCUGAGGUGCGAAAGCUAGGGGAGCAAACAGGAUUAGAUACCCUGGUAGUCCUAGCCGUAAACGAUGGACACUGAGUGGAGGAGGGCUUGCCUUUCUCUGCUGCAGCUAACGCGUUAAGUGUCCCGCCUGGGGAGUACGGCCG
rnacentral:rRNA from 1 species